UCCGAAGGGGGCUAGCGUUGCUCGGAAUCACUGGGCGUAAAGGGUGCGUAGGCGGUUCUUUAAGUCAGGGGUGAAAUCCUGGAGCUCAACUCCAGAACUGCCUUUGAUACUGAAGAUCUUGAGUUCGGGAGAGGUGAGUGGAACUGCGAGUGUAGAGGUGAAAUUCGUAGAUAUUCGCAAGAACACCAGUGGCGAAGGCGGCUCACUGGCCCGAUACUGACGCUGAGGCACGAAAGCGUGGGGAGCAAACAGG
rnacentral:rRNA from 1 species